rnacentral:rRNA from 1 species
CCUACGGGAGGCAGCAGUGGGGAAUAUUGGGCAAUGGGCGCAAGCCUGACCCAGCAACGCCGCGUGAAGGAAGAAGGCUUUCGGGUUGUAAACUUCUUUUAAGAGGGAAGAGCAGAAGACGGUACCUCUUGAAUAAGCCACGGCUAACUACGUGCCAGCAGCCGCGGUAAUACGGAGGUGGCAAGCGUUGUCCGGAUUUACUGGGUGUAAAGGGCGUGCAGCCGGGAAGACAAGUCAGAUGUGAAAGCCCGCGGCUCAACCGCGGAACUGCAUUUGAAACUGGUUUUCUUGAGUACCGGAGAGGUCAUCGGAAUUCCUGGUGUAGCGGUGAAAUGCGUAGAUAUAAGGAAGAACACCAGUGGCGAAGGCAGAUGACUGGACGGCAACUGACGGUGAGGCGCGAAAGCGUGGGGAGCAAACAGGAUUAGAUACCCUUGUAGUC